CCCUCUCACUUUCUCAAUUUCUUUCCUACUCCUCUCAAUAUUCAUCUCAUGCCUUCGAUCCCUAACUCUACUCCAAACAACCGCCACAAGAAAUCCGUCAAGCCAACCCGUGCUCAGUCGUCGUCGAAUCCAAUACCUUUAUCCCGCGGGCCCAACCUUGUUGUCGUCGAGCCACCACAUGCCUAACCUUGUUCUCGUCUUUGUUAUGAAAAAAUUAAUCAAUUAUUUGUCCACACUCCACUCUCUCCCAUUCUCCCCCUUCUUUACACUCUCUGUUUCAUAUCUGCAACCAAUUUCUCCUUUCCGAAUUUCAACUUCUAUAGGGCUUUCGAAUUUUGUGGUGUUGGAGUUGGGUAUUGGAGGUGUUGACCUAAAUUGUUCUCUUCUCUCAACCCAUUUUUAAAGUGGCCCAACCUUAGGUGAAGAUGUAUUUGUAUUUUAACAUUCUAUCCAUUGGAGCAACUUUAAGAAAAUGAUUGAACCAUGGAACUAUCACACUUUCAGCUGAAGGUCUUGCAUGAGAAUGAGAAAGUUAUCGGUUCUUGCCAGAGAAUGGGAAGAGGUGUGGUUGUUACCAGUAUCUUUAUCAUAGAUUUAUUGUUACAAAUAAUGGAUCGAGACAUGAUGUUGCUGGCUUGAGGUCAGGAUGUAUUUAAUUCAUUCAACGAAAGGUGCUUGUUAAGUAAUUUCAUAGUGUUAUGGAGUAUGAAUAACAUGAAAAACGAGCUUGGAGUGUUGAUUUUUCACGUUCUGAACCUUCCAUGUUUGUAUCAAGCAGUGAUGACUUUAAGGUAUUUGAUUGAAGCACACACUAUCUUGAGUUGGUGAAGAUUAUUGAUUCAAAAUUAGAUUUGUGAUUCAAAAUUAGACUUGUGAUUGAUGCGCACAAGUGAAGAUUAACUAGCAAUUCUCUAAUUUCUGCAUUGCAAUUUUUUCAUUUUCUUCAAUGGUUAGAUUUGUAGCAGAAGAUAUUUGACUUGUCAACUGUGGCACUUGGAAAAUACUAUCCUUUGUUGAGUCGUAUCUGUAAUUAGGCAAUAUAAUUUUGGAUCCAUGCUGAAAUUGUUACUAGCACAUGAUUUGUAGAAAUUGUCCAAUACAAUUGUGUAUUACUCAAGUCUGGGUCAAAGGGUUAAUAGUUUAUCAGUUGUGGGUGUUUUGUUUUCUUAAACAAGUUCUUCUCUUGCUUACUAACUUCAAGUUACAACAUUAUUAGGUUCUUUCCAUUAUGUUUUUUCUGAUACUAUUCUCAGGUACAUUGCUCCUUUUCUUUUAAUAGGUCAAAAUUUGGUACACAUAAGACAUUAGGGAAUUGCUUAUUGACUUCAAAUUGAUUACUUUAGGCGACCGUUGAAGGUUGAAGGCUUAGAAGGCAUUUAAGAUUUCUAAUUAUUUAGGAUUUUUUUUCAUGUACUGUUCUAGAAUGUAUAUAUAAACACAACAUUAAGAUUUCAUUUUGUAUAUACAAAUGUAAAAGACAAAUAUUAUAGUUUCUUAAAUAAUAUUAAUUUCAUUGA